GACGAGCCACACAAACGUUAUUCGGAAUUAUUGGGCGUAAAGGGCGCGUAGGCGGCCUUCUAAGUCGGACGUGAAAUCCCUCGGCUUAACCGAGGAACUGCGUCCGAUACUGAAAGGCUUGAAUCCGGGAGAGGGAUGUGGAAUUCCAGGUGUAGCGGUGAAAUGCGUAGAUAUCUGGAGGAACACCGGUGGCGAAGGCGGCAUCCUGGACCGGCAUUGACGCUGAGGCGCGAAAGCUAGGGGAGCAAACGGG
rnacentral:rRNA from 1 species